ensembl:lncRNA
CAAGGAAAUGUGCAAGAACGACUAUUACGCGGGAGAUUUUCGUGGAAGAAGGAAACGUUUGCUGCAGUCUGCUGUGGCUGCCCAGGACUUGAAAGACGGGCUAUACUACGGGAAAUGGGAGCGAUUCUGGGGAGACCAGAGUGCCUGACUUCCGGCUGAGGAGGAGCACCCCCCGGACGCUAAGCAGGUGUCCACGCACCAAGCCCUCGCUCUCCUUCCUGCCUGGCGAACCAGAGGGCCACUCUCAAGCUGUCCUGGACAGACUCCAUUUGGGCAGUAGUGUAAUCCCAUGGCCAAAAGGGGGGUGACAACCUGCUUUUGAGAAACUCUAAAUUGAUCCCCAUCCCAGGCUGAACCCUAAACCUCCAGGCACCCCCAGAGCGGGUUAGCAGAUACCGUCACGUCUUCAGCUAGACCCUGUAGGCUUUCUUAGCUUCUCCUUUUGUGGCUAGGAGAUGCGUGGCACCUCGGCUUCUGGGUCUGUUUAGAUUGCCUAGAGACAGGCCUGAGACCUCCCACUUCUCCAGAACUCUCCAGAAGCACGAGGCAUUCUGUAGUCCAGUGCAAGUCCCAGGACUGGCGUUCAUGGAGCUUCCCGGAUGAGUCUUUCUGCCUCGAUGGAAGGCGCUUAUUCCAACUACUUCGGUGGUUCUGUAUUUUAGGCUGACAACAUGGACAUACAUGCACGUGGGCGUUCCACUGGCAGCCCACAUUCAACGUCUCGUGUCUUCCAACAGGCUCCUAUUCCAAGCGUUCCUACUUCUGGUAAUGGCGACACUGUCCCUCCAGUAACUCAAACUUCCCUUUCAAAGCCCGAGAAAGGAGAAGCCAUCGCGGAUCAGAGGAGGUCGCGUCCUGCCUGGGGAGACAACAUCUGAAGGAGGGAGGGCUCCUUUUCACGCUCAGUUCAUGGAGACUGAUGUGAGAGUUGCACCUGGAAGAAGUGUCCAGAUGGGGCAAAUGCUGAGAUGAAGAUGAACUGGCUAUUCCUCAGUCCCAGAAGGAUCCUCGUUCCAGAGCUCCAAUUCCGUGUGGCCAGCUGCUCAUGGCUUUGCAAACUGGAUCUACCACAGCCAGCGUUAACGAAGAGUCCAGAAGACAACUCAUUUUUCCUUCUGAAUUCAAGGUCUGCUACUUCGAAAUCGUCCUUGAACCCUCACGUGCCCUCACUUAAGUCUCCCGGCAUCCCCAGUGGCCAUGCCUUACAGACUCACGUCUCCACGGUCUAUCCUGCGGUCCCCUCGUCUCCAGUCUAACUGCUACUUUAGCACAGUUCAAGCCCUCAGCCUGGACCAGCAAUCUCCCAUCUCUAAUUCCUUCUGCACAUAGCUGCCAAUGAGAUAUUUCUGGAGACAUGUCUGAGCGUGUUACUGCCUCCCCUGGCUCACUUUUGCCUCCAGGACCAAAUGCAAGUCUCUGUUAGCGUUGGCACCUUCAUAAGUUGACGCCAACAUAUUUGUCUCGGCUUAUCAUAGCUGCAUUCUUUCCCUUCAUGGGACAUUCGGGGUCCAAGGAGCUUCUCAGCCCUUUUCAGGGCUGCUCCUCUUCAUACAUGCCAUUUACACAGCCCUUGACUCUCACCUGCUCCUGAGAAACUGUAGCCUAGGCAGCUGCCGCAGUCCAGCAAACCAUCCAAGCCGACGGGCUAAGCCAGGUUAAGGGUAGAGUUAUGGGGGCGUCUACGCCAAGCAUGUGCAGACUUAGCCCAGUGGAAUGGGAAGAUGAGAACAGUUUGUUCUAACAGCCAUGGAAGUGGCUCAAGCAGACCCUGAGGAGUACUUAGAGCUCGAUCAGACGCCAAAGAUGCCCCGGUGGAGCUGGGGAUCCGAGGUUACGUGUCCCUGGAACUGCCGCAGUCUUCAUCACUCCUUCCCUAUUCGCACAGGGUCUGCAGAGGACUUGAUGAAGUCACAGCUAGGGCCACCCUCCUGGACUCUAAACUCUAGCUAGGUGGCCCUGACUCCCUGACGAAGAAUUUGAGUUAGAAAAGCCGCCCCUGGAAAGCAAUAUCCCCACGUGAAUUUCACAAAUUGCCUUUCUUUACACGCCUAGCCCAAAUUAACGAUCUUCUGCCACUGAGAAGGACCCUGUAUCGCUAUCAAAGCUUCUCUCUUCAUCAUCACUGAAACCUGCACUUGUUAGCUUCACAGCUUUGUUUUAUUCCAAGAAUUCCCGGAGAAGAUGGAGCCUGUCCUGCAAAAAGUCCCAGAGACUUGGCAGCUGCAUUUCGGAAGUCUUCCUGUUUUCUCUAAAGUCCCCUCAAACAUUCAUGUCAUCACUGACGUCACUGGCCCAUUUGGGAGCGCGGAACGCAGUCUGCAACUUCUGGUGCGCUCUUUAGAGUGACGAUAUCAGCACCUUUCAAGCCCAGCUGCACAGCGUUGAUGUAGCUUCAGCCAGCUUGGUGUUGCUCAACCCCGACUCACUUGGGAGGAGAAAUGAUGGAUUUGGCCACGCAAAUGUGCUCCUUUUAACUCCGCUGGAAGCAAUACUCGAAGCACUAGAGAAGUCAGGUCGUGCUGUGGAAAUAAAGGGAUUGUCGUGUGAUUUGUUAACUCCCUU